GUUAGAGUGUCGUAGAGGGUUAUGGAACCCUUGAGUUAGUGUAGCACCGAUAUACGGUGUUACAAGUUAGAUCGAGUCGUAGUUACUCAUAGUCUUAUUAUUGUGAUUGUGUUUGUGGUUGAUUGAUUUGCUUGCAGGUUAUGACAUUAAGUCCUAAGUCUGGUUUAGGUACCGGAUUAGGCUUGGUGUGUAUUUGGUUAGUGUAGGCCUGACGUUGGCCUGUAUGUGUUUGAGUGAUUGCUUGUGAAGGGUGGUGGAUAUUAAAGCUAUGCGGUAUCAUUGGUUGGCCGAUCAUGUUCUUGUUUGAUUGUUGGUCGAUCGAAUAAUGAUACUUGUAUAGUCUAAGUGUCUAACACUACAUGAGUACUGAACUCAGGUGCAUAUAUGGUUAACUAGGGAUUGGUUGUUGACAUGUUUUAAU
rnacentral:lncRNA from 1 species